ACCGGCUGGUGACCUGAAGUAAAGGAU
rnacentral:piRNA from 1 species